GGGGAGAUGGCGGAGUGGCCAAUCGCAACAGACUGUAAAUCUGUCGGCUUAUGCCUACGAAGGUUCAAAUCCUUCUCUCCCCACCA
rnacentral:tRNA from 1 species